rnacentral:rRNA from 1 species
GUCCACGCCGUAAACGAUGUGUGUUUGUCGCUGGGGAGUUUACUCUUCGGUGACGGAGCUAACGCAUUAAGCACACCGCCUGGGAAGUACGGUCGCAAGAUUAAAACUCAAAGGAAUUGACGGGGACCCGCACAAGCGGUGGAGUAUGUGGUUUAAUUCGUCGCAACGCGAAGAACCUUACCAGGCCUUGACAUACCGAUUAAGGGAUUCAGAGAUGAGUCCUGUCAGUUCGGCUGGAUCGGAUACAGGUGCUGCAUGGCUGUCGU